UCCUCCCGUGACUCACUCUCACUUUCCCCAAAUCAGCCACCAUGGCGUCUUCCAAGUCUCUCGUCCUGCUGUCCCCUCCGAUUAAUCCUCCGCUCGCUGACACCGGUACUCCCCUGCUCUCGGCCGUGGAUGAAUCCGCGCGAGGACGCCGCCUAGUGCGCGCCUCCGGCCACGCCGGUUGCUGCUGGACCCCCCUACGCCGCUGCCCGCCCCCCCUCCCCUGGACGGCUAGGUCGCUAGGCCUACUGUGCUUCGUCGGCCGUCAGCCGGCUCUAUCCGUCGAGCAGUGCUGCUUCAGCUCAACGCACAUGCCUGCCUCCCUAGAAUGCCGGCGGUGCAGGCUGCACCGUAACCAGCUCGUUUUACCACUAGAUCUGUGGGGCGCCGGCGGCAGCAGGCAGCUGUAGCCCCCGCUCCCUGACCAGCAUGACCAUUAACAGCGGAUGCAGAGGACAAGCUCGAGGACGGCGAUUCAGAGGAGCAGCCAAGAUCUCAAGCAUGAAGUUCAUUUACUAUAAAGCUGGGUUCAGUUGCCCCACUUAUUGCUGUCAACUUCACAUUGGACAUCACAAGCCACGAAUCCUGAUUGAAGACGGGAAGAUGAUGAUGAUAACAAGAGCUCGAUGGAGGUGUGCAGUCCUAUUGAAGAUGGCCAAGUUCAGAUCCAAAGGCGAUGUAUUCCAUCCAGUGCCUGUGGCCAGGGAUCGCAGCCAGCCUGUGCGAUCUGUGUGUAGAACGCACCAUGCGGCCAACAAAAUCCUGUUAUAUAGGCAAUGGAAAAAGGCAGGAGGUGAGUCGCAGAAAGAAAAAUUGGCGCCAAUGUGGUUGUUCAGGAAAGGGCGGAGGCGGAGAUGGGCAGUUGCGAUCUAUAUUUGUUAACCGUGUUUGUGGAAAAAUGACUAAUACUCGUUUUCCCACAAACCUGGAAUUCUGGGCUUUUGUGAAACGAGUUUUCUAUAUGCAUGGGUUGGUUGAAGGAGCCAAACAAGAUUUUGUACGGUUAGGCCGUUUUUCUGGCUUAUGGAGAUCCCGAUCUGUAUGUUCCCCUUAUCCAAACAACACCUAAGUGUAGUUCGAAUUAGGUGCUGAAACUUUUUGAGCUUGUACAUCACACAUGAAUGUGUGUCUUCAAUUUUUUUCGGAAUUUUUGAACAUGUUUUGUAUCUUCAAAAAAUUUGAUCACAUUGAUCUCAUCUAAGGACAUAUUCUAUACAAGUCUUCCCCUGAGAAUAAAACAGCGAGGGCACUUUUUUGAA